rnacentral:rRNA from 1 species
CCUACGGGAGGCAGCAGUGGGGAAUAUUGCACAAUGGGGGAAACCCUGAUGCAGCGACGCCGCGUGAGUGAAGAAGUAAUUCGUUAUGUAAAGCUCUAUCAGCAGGGAAGAAAAUGACGGUACCUGAGUAAGAAGCCCCGGCUAACUACGUGCCAGCAGCCGCGGUACUACGUAGGGGGCAAGCGUUAUCCGGAUUUACUGGGUGUAAAGGGAGCGUAGACGGCAGUGCAAGUCUGGAGUGAAAGGCGGGGGCUCAACCCCGGGACUGCUCUGGAAACUGUACGGCUGGAGUGCAGGAGAGGUAAGUGGAAUGUCUAGUGUAGCGGUGAAAUGCGUAGAUAUUAGGAGGAACACCAGUGGCGAAGGCGGCUUACUGGACUGUAACUGACGUUGAGGCUCGAAAGCGUGGGGAGCAAACAGGAUUAGAUACCCGUGUAGUC